UGGGGAAUCUUGGACAAUGGGGGCAACCCUGAUCCAGCCAUGCCGCGUGAGUGAUGAAGGCCUUAGGGUCGUAAAGCUCUUUCGCCUGUGAAGAUAAUGACGGUAGCAGGUAAAGAAGUCCCGGCUAACUCCGUGCCAGCAGCCGCGGUAAUACGGAGGGGACUAGCGUUGUUCGGAAUUACUGGGCGUAAAGAGUUCGUAGGCGGACUAGCAAGUUAGAGGUGAAAUCCCAGGGCUCAACCUUGGAACUGCCUUUAAAACUGCUAGUCUAGAGACCGGAAGAGGUUAGGGGAAUACCUAGUGUAGAGGUGAAAUUCGUAGAUAUUAGGUGGAACACCAGUGGCGAAGGCGCCUAACUGGUCCGGUACUGACGCUGAGGAACGAAAGCGUGGGGAGCAAACAGGAUUAGAUACCCUGGUAGUCCACGCCGUAAACGAUGAGUGCUAGAUGUUGGGAUUUUCGGAUUUCAGUGUCGCAGCUAACGCAUUAAGCACUCCGCCUGGGGAGUAC
rnacentral:rRNA from 1 species